rnacentral:rRNA from 1 species
GACGAACGCUGGCGGCGUGCUUAACACAUGCAAGUCGAACGGAAAGGCCCUGCUUUUGUGGGGUGCUCGAGUGGCGAACGGGUGAGUAACACGUGAGUAACCUGCCCUUGACUUUGGGAUAACUUCAGGAAACUGGGGCUAAUACCGGAUAGGAGCUCCUGCUGCAUGGUGGGGGUUGGAAAGUUUCGGCGGUUGGGGAUGGACUCGCGGCUUAUCAGCUUGUUGGUGGGGUAGUGGCUUACCAAGGCUUUGACGGGUAGCCGGCCUGAGAGGGUGACCGGCCACAUUGGGACUGGGCUACGGCCCAGACUCCUACGGGAGGCAGCAGUGGGGAAUAUUGCACAAUGGGCGGAAGCCUGAUGCAGCAACGCCGCGUGCUGGAUGACGGCCUUCGGGUUGUAAACCGCUUUCGCCUGUGACGAAGCGUGAGUGACGGUAAUGGGUAAAGAAGCACCGGCUAACUACGUG